rnacentral:lncRNA from 1 species
NNNNNNNNNNNNNNNNNNNNNNNNNNNGCUAGUCACUUCGUUCCUUAAACAGGACAACAACAGCAGAUCUGGUUCACAGUCUGGCAUCACUAGUAAUAUAUGUGAAGCACAACCUGGAGUAAGCCCACCUCCACAGAGAGCUGUUACUAGUGAUAUUUUUACAUCGUAUGCCCAGGAAAUGCACAGAUCUUCCUUGCCACCACCUGUGUUUCUUACCUCCGAAGCAUCAGUAUCGCUUCCCCCAGCCCCACAGGUGGUGCAGUCUACAUUCAGUGCCCAAGACUUUACUCCCAAGUUGCAUCACCCUAAUGUAGUGGCAUGGUCAUCACCUCCACGUGCAACAGCUCAGUCGACUUCAGAUUCUAGAACAGUUUUCACUGGUCCAUCACCCAUUUACCCAGCUACCGUCUCAGUGCAGCCAUCUUCUCCUGUCACUAUGGUAACCUACCAUCAGACAGCUGCUGUCAGUGUGCCUCCUUCAGUAGCUUCACCUCUAGACCCUGCAAACUUAGGGGCUUCUGUACUUCCUCAGCCACGCCAAGUACUGUACCCUCACAAUCAAGUGGCAUUCCCGGCCCCUCAUCCAGUUCCAGCUCAUGCAGCAAUCUAUGUACCUCAAGCCCAGCCACCCGGACUAGAGAUGUUAGCUGCUUCUGCUUAUGGUAUCCCAAAACCUGUCAUACCAUCCUUUGAAAGUGGACGUGAAAGCGACUUUGCCCUGCUCAAAAUGGCAUUGGACAAUCUGAUGAACAAUCAACAGCACUUAAGUGAACAGUACAAAUAUCAAGUGCUUCUAGGGCACUUAAAGCUUCCCAGUGCUAUCCAGCUUGCCAAGGCAUACAUGCACGAUCCCCGGCCGUACACAGCUGCACUACAAGCACUGCAAGAUAAAUAUGGACAACCACGCCAACUAGUACAAUGUGAGUUAGUUGCCAUAUUGAAUGCUCCAGCUGUAAAGUUUGGAGAAGCUGAAGCUUUUGAUGACUUUGCCUUAUCCAUCCAUUCAUUGGUAGGGAUGAUCAGGACUUUAGAAGGCCCAAAUGGCUAUGAGUUAAGGUGUGGAUCGCAUGUUGAUCGCCUUCUGAGCAAAAUGCCACCGUCAUAUCGUGACAGCUUCGUUGAGUACUGUUUUAGCCAUGGCAUUCUCCGGACUGGCACAGACAGUACCUACACCCUGCCAGAUUUCUCUGCCUGGCUACAGCUGAAGUCUCAGGCUAAGCGCAUUUCAAACAGGGCAGCAGCACUCUACCAAAGUCAGGCAUCCAGGACAACCAAGAAGGAUUCACACCCACCUUCUCGGCCUAAAGACAGAUCCACUU